rnacentral:rRNA from 1 species
GACGAACGCUGGCGGCGUGCCUAAUACAUGCAAGUCGAACGCAGUGGGGACGGGUGAGUAACACGUGGGUAACCUCCCAUCAGAGGGGAUAACACUUGGAAACAGGUGCUAAACCGAUACUGAUGGAAGGACCAGCGGUGCAUUAGCUAGUGGGGGCGGGAACGGCGCACCAAGGCCACGAUGCAUAGCCGACCUGAGAGGGUGAUCGGCCACACUGGUACUGAGAACCGGCCCAGACUCCUACGGGAGGCAGCAGUAGGUCAUCUUCGGCAAUGGACGAAAGUCUGACCGAGCAACGCCGCGUGAGUGAAGAAGGUUUUCGGAUCGUAAAACUCUGUUGUUAGAGAAGCGGUAUCUAACCAGAAAGCCACGGCUAACUACGUGCCAGCAGCCGCGGUAAUUC